rnacentral:rRNA from 1 species
GAUGAACGCUGGCGGCGUGCCUAAUACAUGCAAGUCGAGCGAACGGACGAAAAGCUUUCUUCUAUGAUGUUGGCGACGGACGGGUGAGUAACACGUGGAUAACCUACCUAUAAGACUGGGAUAAGUUCGGGGAACCUAAUACAGUACCGGAUAUGAUUUUGAACCUGAUGGUUCAACAGUGAAAGAGGGUCUUGAUGACACUAGUAGAUGUAACCGCGUUGCAUUAGCUAGUUGGUAAGGUAACGGCUUACCAAGGCAACGAUGCAUAGCCGACCUGAGAGGGUGAUCGGUCACACUGGAACUGAGACACGGUCCAGACUCCUACGGGAGGCAGCAGUAGGGAAUAUUCCGCAAUGGGCGAAAGCCUGACGGAGCAAAGCCGCGUGUGUGAUGAAGGUCUUCGGAUCGUAAAACUCUUUUAUUAGGGAAGAACAGCAGUAUAAGAAACUGUUCACAUCUUGACGUUACCUAAAGAGAAAGCCCCGGCUAACUACGUG